AUGCUCUUAGUACCCACCACCACCACCACCACGGCUGUCUUGAUUGCUCAAGACAUGAUUAUUUCAGCAACAAUCUUCAUCAUCGCCCCGCCACUAUUUUCUCUGAUGAAAAAGAGGUUGCACGCCAAGCAACAUGACCAUGAUAUUUCUUUACAGAGGGAGUACCCAUCAAAUGCAUGCAUGCGUGCACGCAUGAGGAGCUGCUCAUACCUGGCGUCAGCCGACCAAACCUCCCAGCGCGGAACACGCAUCAGACAGCACCGUAUGGUUCCCAGCCCACGCCGCAACCAAAUCCAAGCCAAAAUGGAGCGGCGGUGGCUGACGGGGCUGUAG
rnacentral:rRNA from 1 species